UACAGAGGUCUCAAGCGUUGCUCGGAUUCAUUGGGCGUAAAGGGCGCGUAGGCUGCGGGGCAAGUCGGGUGUGAAAUCUCAGAGCUCAACUCUGAAACUGCACUCGAUACUGCUUUGCUCGAGGACUGGAGAGGAGAUUGGAAUUCACGGUGUAGCAGUGAAAUGCGUAGAUAUCGUGAGGAAGACCAGUGGCGAAGGCGGAUCUCUGGACAGUUCCUGACGCUGAGGCGCGAAGGCCAGGGGAGCAAACGGG
rnacentral:rRNA from 1 species